AGGUUACAAGAAUUGCUAAAGUUGGUGGUGUUAAUGUAAAAGAGAAUAUUGCAAAUGUUUUAAAUAGGCGUAUGAAUAAUCAUCUGAUGAGUGAUUUUAAUAUGAAGAGUAAGCAUGGAAAGCAGCCCUUUGGUGUUACUUGCCUUUAUAAAAUAAUAAAAACAAACGCUCUUAAUUUAAACAGUUGCAAUGAGAAGGAUGUCGACAAUGCCAUUUCAAAGCACCUUAAGCAUGCGCCAAAGAGAAAAGGUGGACUUAAGUUCACCGAAAAAAUGUUUUAUAACGAUAUUUUGAAAUGUUUAUGUAACGUAUUUGUUUAUAAAUGUAUUAAAAUACAGUUAUAUUUUUA